rnacentral:sRNA from 2 species
UUGCGCAAGUAAUGUUUUAUCGAGCAAUCUUCGCAAUCGCCUGCUGCGGCCAAACGCCUAUUCUUUAAACCAGAAUCACUGCCCGGACAUAGAGUCCACUGCGGCCCGCCGAAUCAGGCCAGCCGCGGCCGCCAACCCCACAGGGUUGCCCCGGCCCCCGGGCUGCGCACUGUCCAGAAGACGGAGCGAGGUGAGCCAACAUCACAAGUGUUGAGCCAGGACGAAAAAAUUCAAAGGGCGACCGACGGGUCGCCCU